AACGAACGCUGGCGGCAUGCCUAACACAUGCAAGUCGAACGAGACCUUCGGGUCUAGUGGCGCACGGGUGCGUAACGCGUGGGAACCUGCCUUUAGGUUCGGAAUAACUCAGAGAAAUUUGAGCUAAUACCGGAUGAUGUCUUCGGACCAAAGAUUUAUCGCCUUUAGAUGGGCCCGCGUUGGAUUAGCUAGUUGGUGGGGUAAAGGCCUACCAAGGCGACGAUCCAUAGCUGGUCUGAGAGGAUGAUCAGCCACACUGGGACUGAGACACGGCCCAGACUCAUACGGGAGGCAGCAGUGGGGAAUAUUGGACAAUGGGCGAAAGACUGAUCCAGCAAUGCCGCGUGAGUGAUGAAGGCCUUAGGGUUGUAAAGCUCUUUUACCCGAGAUGAUAAUGACAGUAUCGGGAGAAUAAGCGCCGGCUAACUCCGUG
rnacentral:rRNA from 1 species